CCCUUUCCCCUCCGGCCUCUGCCGGUGCUGCUGCGCCCUGCGGAGCUCCGAACACGUGCGCAGAGGCUGGCUGUGGCAGAUGCAACUGCAGGAUGACUUGAAAGUAGGGCAUCCUUCACCCAUCUGAAGGGAGGAAAUAGUGGCAGGUGACAGUCUGCAUGUGCAGUUUUCAGAUCCCAAUCGCAGUGCUUGGCACAUGGCAGGACCUCCCUGAAUGUUGCAUAAAACAACUGAAAACACAGAAGGGGAUUCCUGUUAAAGGGUUUGACAACAGGGUCUGCAAUUAGUGCUUCCACGCCUGUUUUGCAGUCAAUAUUCAACUGAUACGUCUUCUACCUGGAGUGCCUAGAUGCCUUCACCUGAAUGACAUCUACCUCCAUCAGGACCCCAGAUGUCUGACAGCCCUGUGUGACACCAAGAUAAGUAACAAUCUGGCUGCUGACUACCCUAUUGGACAACUCCAAUAUUAGAGAACAUUUCCACCAAUUCAGAAAGUUUAUUAUGCACUGCUGUUCUAGAGCAGGGAUCAGCAAACUUGCUGUAAAGAGCCAGGAUCCCGUUGAAGAUACCACAUUACACUUAGGCUCCUGUUGGCCAUGACAGCUUCUUAGACUUGUUUUUAAUGACCUUGACAGUUUUGUUUUUUUGUUUGUUUGUUUUUGAGACGGAGUCUCUGUCAUCCAGGCUGGAGUGCAAUGUAAUGGCUCAAUCUCAGCUCACUGCAACCUCUGCCUCCCGGGUUCAAGUGAUUCUCCUGCCUCAGCCUCCCCAGUAGCUGGGAUUACAGGCAUGAGCCACCGUGCCCGGCUGCCUCCUAAAUUCUCAAAACAUUCCAUUUUUAUUCUGUGGUCUUACUUUAUUCUGUCAUGUAGAGAAUAGUGGUUGAGCCUGUUGUCUUUUGAGAGUGGAUGCUGUAGUCCUUACAUGGCUGACUUUCAGCCCGUAAGCUUAUAGUAGAGGAUGGGGAUUUUGUUAUCAGCUGCUAAAAGGGAGAAGCCAAGCCCAGAACUAAGGGUUCUGAUGAGUUGAAGGAGAGGGAAGAUGCCCCUCAAGGCAAAGAGCCUCUGAGUUAGAAUCUGUGCUUCACCAGAGUGACAAUGGUAGAACUUCUCCUUCUCAGUAUUAAUUCUCCUGGAGAGAACUCUAGGGUUGUCUAAACCUGUUCAACUAGGCUGACUACCCCAGCAAGUGAUGGGUUGGACAUAAGGCAAAGAACAGGAGGGGUGAAAGGGGGCAGAACAGACAAGUUCUGUCCCAGCCUCUGCUACCUCUAACCCCAUGGCAUUCUAUCCUUUUCUACACUGGGCUUCCAUUUCUUACCCCAACAAUGAUCUGUUCUUCCAGGUGCCGUCAUUUAAUUUCCCAGACACUUGACCUCCUUCUGAUUUGUGUACUCCCUCCAAGGCUGAGUUGCAGUGAGUGACAAUAAUCUGUGCUAAUUACUUAUCUUGCCAGAAGACUCAAAGGGUUUAUGGCUUUUACUAACUGAACUCUAUGCUAGAUGUUAGGGAUAAAUGGUUAACAGGACACAGUUCUUGCUUAUCUUGCUAUGGUCUGUCAAGCCUUAUACAAUCUAGCCUUAUCUCUCUCACCGUCUUAUCUUUAUCACCCGUAGAUUCCCUUGUUGGCCACUGGUUUCUUUCAGUCCUUAAUUAGCCUUUUGUCACUACCUGUCUACACAUGCUGUUUUUCCCUUCUCAUUCCAUCUUGACAUUGUCUAUUUUGAGAUCUCAGCUCAGUUGCAGAGAAGCUGCCUUCCCCAUCUGGCAACCCAUUAUAUGUGUCAUAGUACCAUGUUGUACCAUAGAGCUAGACACAGGUGCCAUGUUGUGUCUUGAAAUGUAUUCACCAGCUUCCAAAGGUUUACCUCAAUCCCCUUUACUCAAGAAGCCUCAGUUCUACUGACAGUUGGUAAUAAUAACCUCUCUGUCAUAAUGUACCCAAAAUAGAGUAAGAAUAUCAUGCUUUUCAGUAAUACUCCAGUGAAUGAGGCUAAGAGUACCAUUUUUGUUCUUAUAAAAGAAUUUUUUUGGACAUGAAUACAAAGAUGUCAGGUUACCAAAUCAUUUGCUAGUAGAUCCUAACAAUAUCACCUAUAGGAAACUGAACGUAGCCUUUAAACAUUAAGUGAUGAUAAUGGAUUUGGCCGGGCGCGGUUGCCUAUAAUCCCAACACUGAGAGGCUGAGGUGGGUGGAUCACUUGAGGCCAGGACAGGACCAGCAUGGCCAACAUGGUGAAACCCCGUCUCUACAAAAGAAAAAAAUACAAAAAUUAGCUGGGUGUUGUGGUGUAUGCCUGUAAUCCCAACUAUUUGGGUGGCUGAGGCACGAGAAUCGCUUGAACUUGGAAGGCAGAGGUUGCAGUGAGCUGAGAUCGUGCCACUGCACUCCAGCCUGGGUGACAGACUGAGACAGUCUCAAAAAAAAAAAAAGAAAAUAAUGGAUUUGCAGAGACUUGCUAUUUAGAUUUCAGACAUCUGUUAACUAAAACACAUGUGUAGGCUUUUGUUACUUAUUUCAGUAAUCUGUAAAUAUCUUUAUAUUUGAGAAAAUUUGUGAGACAUCUUUGUGUAAAUUAUAACUUGAAGAACCUCUCUUACAAGCAGGCAUAUUGGUAAGUAGCUGCGAGGAUAUAACUUAUAACCAGAUUGAAGUGUAUAAUUAUAAUAUGUUAUUAUUCUGGGGUUCUAUAAAAAAUAAAAUCUUUGAAUCUA
rnacentral:lncRNA from 1 species